rnacentral:rRNA from 1 species
GCUUGUCUCAAAGAUUAAGCCAUGCAUGUCUAAGUAUAAACGACUUUAUGCUGUGAAACUGCGAAUGGCUCAUUAUAUCAGUUAUAGUUCCUUAGAUGGUCCUUACUACUUGGAUAACCGUAGUAAUUCUAGAGCUAAUACAUGCAUCAAGCCCCGACUUCUGGAAGGGGUGUAUUUAUUAGAGUGAAACCAAUGCGGGGCAACCCGGAAUUAGGUGAUUCAUAAUAACUUUCGGAUCGAUUUUAUCGAUGCAUCUUUCAAGUUUCUGCCCUAUCAGCUUUGGAUGGUAGGGUAUUGGCCUACCAUGGCUUUAACGGGUAACGGAGAAUUAGGGUUCGAUUCCGGAGAGGGAGCCUGAGAAAUGGCUACCACAUCCAAGGAAGGCAGCAGG